rnacentral:rRNA from 1 species
AGCGAACGCUGGCGGCAGGCUUAACACAUGCAAGUCGAACGCCCGUAGCAAUACGGGAGUGGCAGACGGGUGAGUAACGCGUGGGAACAUGCCCUUUGGUUCGGAAUAACUCAGGGAAACUUGAGCUAAUACCGGAUAAGCCCGAGAGGGGAAAGAUUUAUCGCCGAAGGAUUGGCCCGCGUCCGAUUAGCUAGUUGGUGAGGUAAUGGCUCACCAAGGCGACGAUCGGUAGCUGGUCCGAGAGGAUGAUCAGCCACACUGGGACUGAGACACGGCCCAGACUCCUACGGGAGGCAGCAGUGGGGAAUAUUGGACAAUGGGGGCAACCCUGAUCCAGCCAUGCCGCGUGAGUGAUGAAGGCCCUAGGGUUGUAAAGCUCUUUCGGCGGGGACGAUAAUGACGGUACCCGCAGAAGAGGCCCCGGCUAACUUCGUGCCAGCCGCCGCAGUAAUAC